rnacentral:tRNA from 1 species
ACCCAGGUGGCUUAGUUGGUUAAGUGUCUGACUUCAGCUCAGGUCAUGAUCUCACAGUUCGUGAGUUCAAGCCCCACAUUGGGCU